GAUGAACGCUGGCGGCGUGCCUAAUACAUGCAAGUCGAGCGAACAGAUGAGGAUCUGGCUCCUCUGACGUUAGCAGCGGACGGGUGAGUAACACGUGGAUAACCUACCUAUAAGACUGGGAUAACUUCGGGAAACCGGAUCUAAUACCGGAUAAUAUAGUGAACCGCAUGGUUCAAUAGUGAAAGACGGUUUUGCUGUCACUUAUAGAUGUAUCCUCGCCGCAUUAGCUAGUUGGUAAGGUAACGGCUUACCAAGGCAACGAUGCGUAGCCGACCUGAGAGGGUGAUCGGCCACACUGGAACUGAGACACGGUCCAGACUCCUACGGGAGGCAGCAGUGGGGAAUCUUCCGCAAUGGGCGAAAGCCUGACGGAGCAACGCCGCGUGAGUGAUGAAGGUCUUCGGAUCGUAAAGCACUGUUAUUAGGGAAGAACAAAUGUGUAAGUAACUAUGCACGAAUUGACGGUACCUACUCAGAAAGCAACGGCUAACUACGUG
rnacentral:rRNA from 1 species